rnacentral:rRNA from 1 species
AUUGAACGCUGGCGGCAGGCCUAACACAUGCAAGUCGAACGAGUGGCGGACGGGUGAGUAAGGUCUGGGAAACUGCCCGAUGGAGGGGGCUAACUACUGGAACCGGUAGCUAAUACCGCAUACCAUCGGAUGUGCCCAGAGGGGUUUAGCUAGUAGGUGGGGUAACGGCUCACCUAGGCGACGAUCCCUAGCUGGUCUGAGAGGAUGACCAGCCACACUGGGACUGAGACACGGUCCAGACUCCUACGGGAGGCAGCAGGGGGGAAUAUUGCACAAUGGGCGCAAGCCUGAUGCAGCCAUGCCGCGUGUAUGAAGAAGGUCUUCGGGUUGUAAAGUACUGUCAGCGAGGAGGCGUUACUCGCAGAAGAAGCACCGGCUAACUCCGUGCCAGCAGCCGCGGUAAUAC